rnacentral:rRNA from 1 species
GACGAACGCUGGCGGCGUGCCUAAUACAUGCAAGUAGAACGCUGAAGGAGGAGCUUGCUUCUCUGGAUGAGUUGCGAACGGGUGAGUAACGCGUAGGUAACCUGCCUGGUAGCGGGGGAUAACUAUUGGAAACGAUAGCUAAUACCGCAUAAGAGUAGAUGUUGCAUGACAUUUGCUUAAAAGGUGCAAUUGCAUCACUACCAGAUGGACCUGCGUUGUAUUAGCUAGUUGGUGGGGUAACGGCUCACCAAGGCGACGAUACAUAGCCGACCGGAGAGGGGGGUCGGCCAGCCUGGGACGGUGACCGGCCCCAGAGUCCUACGGGAGGCGGCAGGAGGGAAACUGGGGGAAGGGGCGGGAGUCUGACCGAGCAACGCCGAGUGAGUGAGGAAGGUUGUCGGAUCGGAAAGGUCGGUUGUAGGGGAGGAAAGAGUGUGGGAGUGGGAAGUUCACACUGUGACGGUAUCUUAUCAGAAAGCGACGGCUAACUACGUG